rnacentral:piRNA from 1 species
CAGACACAGCUGAGUCCUAACGCAGA